ACAAAGGUCGGAACUUGUUUGUUAAUGAGCAAGUCCCUCGUAAGCCUUGGGGAUAUUAUCAUAACAUCAUUAUUGGGUGAACCUUUGUAGGCUUGACCUUGGACAAUUGGUUCAAUCAAUGAUGUUACAUUU
rnacentral:snoRNA from 1 species